AACAAACGCUGGCGGCGUGCAUAACACAUGCAAGUCUAACGGGAAUGUCGGCUUCGGCUGGCUAGUACCGUGGCGAACGGGUGAGUAACACGUGGGUAAUCUAACCUCGAGUUUGGGAUAACCUUGCGAAAGCGGGGCUAAUACCGAAUAAGACCACGCUCUGCACGCAGAGUGCGGUAAAAGGUGGCUGCUUCCUGAAAGCUAUCACUUGAGGAUGAGCACGCGGCCUAUUAGCUAGUUGGUGGGGUAACGGCCCACCAAGGCGACGAUGGGUAGCCGGCCUGAGAGGGUGUACGGCCACACUGGCACUGAGAUACGGGCCAGACUCCUACGGGAGGCAGCAGUGGGGAAUUUUGCGCAAUGGGGGCAACCCUGACGCAGCAACGCCGCGUGAGUGAUGAAGGCCUUCGGGUCGUAAAGCUCUUUUAGUGGGGAAGAAGCCCGCCCGGGUGAAUAUCCCGGGCGAAUGACGGUACCCACAGAAAAAGUUCCGGCUAACUACGUGCCAGCCGCCGCCGUAACAC
rnacentral:rRNA from 1 species